rnacentral:rRNA from 1 species
UACGUAGGUGGCAAGCGUUGUCCGGAUUUACUGGGCGUAAAGAGCGCGCAGGCGGUCGAUCAAGUCGAGUGUGAAAGCCCCCGGCUCAACUGGGGAGGGUCAUUCGAUACUGAUCGACUCGAAGGCAGGAGAGGGUAGUGGAAUUCCCGGUGUAGUGGUGAAAUGCGUAGAUAUCGGGAGGAACACCAGUGGCGAAGGCGGGUUGCUGGGCUGACACUGACGCUGAGGCGCGAAAGCCAGGGGAGCGAACGGG